rnacentral:rRNA from 1 species
GGGACACGUGGUAUCCUGUCUGAAUAUGGGGGGACCAUCCUCCAAGGCUAAAUACUCCUGACUGACCGAUAGUGAACCAGUACCGUGAGGGAAAGGCGAAAAGAACCCCGGCGAGGGGAGUGAAAAAGAACCUGAAACCGUGUACGUACAAGCAGUGGGAGCACCUUCGGGUGUGACUGCGUACCUUUUGUAUAAUGGGUCAGCGACUUAUAUUCUGUAGCAAGGUUAACCGUAUAGGGGAGCCGAAGGGAAACCGAGUCUUAACUGGGCGUUAAGUUGCAGGGUAUAGACCCGAAACCCGGUGAUCUAGCCAUGGGCAGGUUGAAGGUUGGGUAACACUAACUGGAGGACCGAACCGACUAAUGUUGAAAAAUUAGCGGAUGACCUGUGGCUGGGGGUGAAAGGCCAAUCAAACCGGGAGAUAGCUGGUUCUCCCCGAAAGCUAUUUAGGUAGCGCCUCGUGAACUCAUCUUCGGGGGUAGAGCACUGUUUCGGCUAGGGGGCCAUCCCGGCUUACCAACCCGAUGCAAACUACGAAUACCGAAGAAUGUUAUCACGGGAGACACACGGCGGGUGCUAACGUCCGUCGUGAAGAGGGAAACAACCCAGACCGCCAGCUAAGGUCCCAAAGUCAUGGUUAAGUGGGAAACGAUGUGGGAAGGCACAGACAGCCAGGAUGUUGGCUUAGAAGCAGCCAUCAUUUAAAGAAAGCGUAAUAGCUCACUGGUCGAGUCGGCCUGCGCGGAAGAUGUAACGGGGCUAAACCAUGCACCGAAGCUGCGGCAGCGACGCUUAUGCGUUGUUGGGUAGGGGAGCGUUCUGUAAGCCGUUGAAGGUGUGCUGUGAGGCAUGCUGGAGGUAUCAGAAGUGCGAAUGCUGACAUAAGUAACGAUAAAGCGGGUGAAAAGCCCGCUCGCCGGAAGACCAAGGGUUCCUGUCCAACGUUAAUCGGGGCAGGGUGAGUCGACCCCUAAGGCGAGGCCGAAAGGCGUAGUCGAUGGGAAACAGGUUAAUAUUCCUGUACUUGGUGUUACUGCGAAGGGGGGACGGAGAAGGCUAUGUCAGCCGGGCGACGGUUGUCCCGGUUUAAGCAUGUAGGCGGAGGUUCCAGGUAAAUCCGGUACCUUAUUAACGCUGAGGUGUGAUGACGAGGCACUACGGUGCUGAAGUGAUAAAUGCCCUGCUUCCAGGAAAAGCCUCUAAGCAUCAGGUAACACGAAAUCGUACCCCAAACCGACACAGGUGGUCAGGUAGAGAAUACCAAGGCGCUUGAGAGAACUCGGGUGAAGGAACUAGGCAAAAUGGUGCCGUAACUUCGGGAGAAGGCACGCUGAUAUGUAGGUGAAGCCCCUGCGGGCGGAGCUGAAAUCAGUCGAAGAUACCAGCUGGCUGCAACUGUUUAUUAAAAACACAGCACUGUGCAAACACGAAAGUGGACGUAUACGGUGUGACGCCUGCCCGGUGCCGGAAGGUUAAUUGAUGGGGUUAGCGGCAACGCGAAGCUCUUGAUCGAAGCCCCGGUAAACGGCGGCCGUAACUAUAACGGUCCUAAGGUAGCGAAAUUCCUUGUCGGGUAAGUUCCGACCUGCACGAAUGGCGUAAUGAUGGCCAGGCUGUCUCCACCCGAGACUCAGUGAAAUUGAACUCGCUGUGAAGAUGCAGUGUACCCGCGGCAAGACGGAAAGACCCCGUGAACCUUUACUAUAGCUUGACACUGAACACUGGUCCUUGAUGUGUAGGAUAGGUGGGAGGCUUUGAAGCGUGGACGCCAGUCUGCGUGGAGCCGCCCUUGAAAUACCACCCUUUAAUGGCUGGUGUUCUAACGUAGACCCGUGAUCCGGGUUGCGGACAGUGUCUGGUGGGUAGUUUGACUGGGGCGGUCUCCUCCCAAAGAGUAACGGAGGAGCACGAAGGUUGGCUAAUCCUGGUCGGACAUCAGGAGGUUAGUGCAAUGGCAUAAGCCAGCUUGACUGCGAGCGUGACGGCGCGAGCAGGUGCGAAAGCAGGUCAUAGUGAUCCGGUGGUUCUGAAUGGAAGGGCCAUCGCUCAACGGAUAAAAGGUACUCCGGGGAUAACAGGCUGAUACCGCCCAAGAGUUCAUAUCGACGGCGGUGUUUGGCACCUCGAUGUCGGCUCAUCACAUCCUGGGGCUGAAGUAGGUCCCAAGGGUAUGGCUGUUCGCCAUUUAAAGUGGUACGCGAGCUGGGUUUAGAACGUCGUGAGACAGUUCGGUCCCUAUCUGCCGUGGGCGCUGGAGAAUUGAGGGGGGCUGCUCCUAGUACGAGAGGACCGGAGUGGACGCAUCACUGGUGUUCGGGUUGUCAUGCCAAUGGCACUGCCCGGUAGCUAAAUGCGGAAGAGAUAAGUGCUGAAAGCAUCUAAGCACGAAACUUGCCCCGAGAUGAGUUCUCCCUGAGACCUUGAGUCUCCUGAAGGAACGUUGAAGACGACGACGUUGAUAGGUCGGGUGUGUAAGCGCAGCGAUGCGUUGAGCUAACCGAUACUAAUGAACCGUGAG